rnacentral:tRNA from 1 species
AGAUAAUGAAGUAAAAAUUUUACAAUUAGUUUCGACCUAAUAUUAUAGAGAUACAUUUAUAUCUCCUUAUCUA